rnacentral:sRNA from 1 species
CGUCCUCCUCUUCCUGCCCUGGGAACUCAGGAGACUGGGAUCCUAGCUCGUUCCUGUCGGCACAUAAGCUCUCGGGCCUCUGGAAUUCCCCACAUUGCAGUGGGGCCAUGCCAGGCAGCUCUCUUGGGAGUCCUCCUACCAUCCCCGGUGAGGCUUUCCCUGUCUCGGAGCACCACCAGCACUCAGACCUCACUGCUCCCCCUAACAGCCCCACCGGCCACCACCCCCAGCCAGCAUCUCUAAUCCCGUCUCACCCCAGCUCCUUUGGCUCCCCGCCCCACCCACACCUGCUGCCCACCACCCCGGCAGCGCCUUUCCCUGCCCAGGCUUCAGAAUGCCCUGUUGCUGCUGCCACCGCCCCCCACACUCCAGGGCCAUGUCAGAGCUCCCAUCUACCCUCCACCAGCAUGCCACUCCUGAAGAUGCCCCCACCAUUCUCGGGGUGCAGCCACCCCUGCAGCGGGCACUGUGGUGGGCACUGCAGUGGGUCUCUCCUCCCACCCCCGAGCUCUCAGCCACUCCCUAGCACUCACAGGUAAGUGUGCUGCAUGAAGGGCAAACUCUCUACCCACUUGAACUUAGAAUUUUG